ensembl:lncRNA
UUUCUCAAAAGUCUGUCUUUAAUCUAAGAAUUCUGACCUUUUCCUCAAAAAUCUGAUCAGUUUUCUCAAUGUCUGUCUUUUCUUCAAAACUGAAUUCUUCUCAAAAUUAUGAUUAACUCUCAAACAAAUCUCUCCCUCAGAGAAUUCUUAGUUUAAAGUUAGACUUAUGAUUUUGUUUUCCUCAGGAUUUUGAAGGGAAAAAAAGUCAUGACCUCAAAUUUCUUUCUUCAGUGGCCUUAAUUCCCUUUCAUACGUUUGUGAUUUGAAAGCAUAAAGCAAAAAAAUGCAUUCCAAAUGCCAUCACAGACAAAAGGAACAAAGAACAGAAGAAUGGUCCAUGAAAAGUUUGGAUCCCCAUUUGGUGAAAAUAAGAAUCAAUCACAGUAACUUGAUGGUUGACUGAAAGCAAUAACACUCACUAAAAGACUCGGAGUGAUGCAGAUUGUAUUAGCCAAAUCGGCAGCUAGAUGGAUUUGAGCCAAAUAUAGCACAAAGAAGGAUUUCCUGCAGGAGACUGUGAUUACAGCGUUGGCAACUGUUGGUAUGUGACAUCACAUCAUUCUGCAAUACAUUUUUUACAUUUUUCUUAAGUUUAUCCCACAGAAGGUAAAACUGUCCCAUGUUGUGGGCUUGUGUACAAAAUCCUCAUUGCUAAUGAUUGUAAAUGACUGCUGACAUGGGUUUGUUUAUAUCACUAAUGGGACAAAGUGAUGAUGAAGUUUACCUUGCUAGUGACCCGAAGCCUUACGUUAGUUUAUCGACUCAACGCGUCAGAUGGAAAUGAAGGCUUCAACCCUCAGCAGGUCGCACACGCUGAAAACUGAGAUGAGAAGAAGACUUUUUGUUCAGAAAUAUGAAUGUGUUUCCUAUAACAUCAAUUCUCUUUUUUUGUCAUUAAGCUGUUUCCCACUUCUGACAGGGUGUAAAUAAAAAAUAACAGAGUAUCUAUACUGACCGUUCUACUUUAAAAAUGAUAGGGUCUCAUAAUAAAUGCCAACUGUACAUUU